UAGUCCACGCCCUAAACGAUGUUGGCUCGGUAUCUGGCUAUAAGCUGGGUGCCCAAGGGAAACCGAUAAGCCAACCACCUGGGGAGUACGUCGGCAACAAUGAAACUCAAAGGAAUUGACGGGGACCCGCACAAGCGGUGGAACAUGUGGUUUAAUUCGAUGAUACGCGAGGAACCUUACCUGGACUUAAAUGUACGUUGCAUAGAGUAGAGAUAUUCUUUUCUUCGGACUACGUACAAGGUGCUGCAUGGUUGUCGUCAGCUCGUGCCGUGAGGUGUCGGGUUAAGUCCCAUAACGAGCGCAACCCCUAUCGUUAGUUACCAUCAGGUUAUGCUGGGGACUCUAGCGAAACUGCCUGUGCAAACAGAGAGGAAGGUGGGGAUGACGUCAAAUCAGCACGGCCCUUACGUCCAGGGCUACACACGUGUUACAAUGGCAUAGACAGAGGGCAGCUACACGGCGACGUGAUGCGAAUCUCGAAACUAUGUCUCAGUUCGGAUCGGAGUCUGCAACCCG
rnacentral:rRNA from 1 species